GUUUUGAAUAUAAAGAGUUAGGAAAAUACAACAAAGCCCUUGGUGGCUUAAAGAGUGGGUAUAAUUAAAUGAGGGGUAUUGUAGUAAUUGUAUAAAUAGAUGAUAUAUAUAAAUAGGAAGUAAAAAAAUGAAAAAAAAAAGAGAAGAGGGAUCUGAAAAAUUGAAAGAGUAAACCGUGAGAGAGAAAGGAGAAAGAAGAAGAAGAAGAGAAAAGAGGGAAAUUAGAAAGGAAAUAGAAAGGAGUUGGAGGAAAUAAGUAAAAAGAUAAUCCUGAUAUUCUACCGACAGGACGUCAGUAGGAUUUUCUUCGGUGUCUGCUUUUGGCUUCUGUUUGCUUUUGAGUCAGGCUUAUAGCUUGAUAGCAGGUCAUUUUGUUGGACCUUCAGAACCUGUUUUUUGGUUGUAAUUUGUACAUUUUCCUUUAUGUCUAGUUAGUGCUCCAAAACUCUGAAUUUAUAUUAACUCUUGUAUUAAGACAAUUCAAUUAUAUUAUGAAGUUGAUUUUGUUAUUAA